rnacentral:rRNA from 1 species
AACGAACGCUGGCGGCAUGCCUAACACAUGCAAGUCGAACGAGACCUUCGGGUCUAGUGGCGCACGGGCGCGUAACGCGUGGGAACCUGCCCUUAGGUUCGGAAUAACUCCCCGAAAGGGGUGCUAAUACCGGAUAAUGUCUUCGGACCAAAGAUUUAUCGCCUUUGGAUGGGCCCGCGUUGGAUUAGCUAGUUGGUAGGGUAAAAGCCUACCAAGGCGACGAUCCAUAGCUGGUCUGAGAGGAUGAUCAGCCACACUGGGACUGAGACACGGCCCAGACUCCUACGGGAGGCAGCAGUGGGGAAUAUUGGACACUGGGCGAAAGCCUGAUCCAGCAAUGCCGCGUGAGUGAUGAAGGCCUUAGGGUUGUAAAGCUCUUUUACCCGGGAUGAUAAUGACAGUACCGGGAGAAUAAGCUCCGGCUAACUCCGUG